UUUUUUUCACUCACUUAUCUUUUCAAACAGUUGACUUCAUGAAGUUGUUUUUGGGGCUGAAAAUCAGUUGAUCUGGUUAUAUGAGCUUCUGAGAAAAAUCUGGUAGAGGUGUUCAGCAAGUUCUUCUCUAACAGUGGAAUCCGGUUUGAACCUGUUUUCUUGGCUGAAAAUCAAAUGAUCUGGUUAAAGGAGCUUCCGAGACGAAAUCUGGGCUGAGAUUAGAUUGGAUGCUGAUAUAUAUGAGCUUUCAAGGGAAAAUCUUGUCGAUGGCCAUUGUUUUUUCUAGCGGAAGUUUGAUUGUUGCCCAGCUAAUUGAAGAUGUACGAGCUCGUUAAUAUAUAGAAUGGAGAUUGUAAGAGAGCUGUUAUCAUGUGCUUGCCAGUCUGUAUGGCAACAAAUUUGCCAACAAUUGAACUAUAUCAGAGAACAUGAAGAAAAUGAUCAAACUAUGCAGAGAGAGUUAAACUUUUUGAGGUGCCAAGAAAAAGACGUUAGUGCCAAACUGAAUGUAGACAAUGUGCGGCAUGGGAAGAGACCAAGAGAGGAGGUAACAAAUUGGUUGAAGAACUUGGAGGAGAUAGAAAGUGAUGUGAACAGCUUAGGCUCUGGUGAUGCACAAUUUUGGUUAAACUACUACUCCCGUUUGAAGAGAAGCAAAAAGACAGUGCAAAUACUCCACAGAGUUAGGGAUCUACAGGCAAGAGGAAAUUCAUUUGCUCAGAGUGAAGAUAUAUUUAUUGAUUCACUUCAUGAACCUCAGUCCAGUUUGUCUGCGCCACCCUUACACGGCAGUUCACU